CCAGGGGAAGCUGAAAACCUGUAAAAAGAGUAGGCA
rfam:Chitinophaga niabensis strain DSM 24787 genome assembly, contig: Ga0070009_12